GUAAUCAAAGUAGCUUUGAAAAACUAAUCAUAAAUUGUUCGACCCAAGCCCGCUCCUUGUUGAAUUUCUUCAGUCUUACCCUACUCAGCAAAGGAAUAACACCUAAAUUUUUUCCAAAUUAAAAUCUUCAAAAUGUUCAUUGGUCCGGUCCAGAAAGAACAUCUGCACAACAUGAUCCUGGGAUGUGGUUGGCCCUGUGGAUCACUGAGCGGACCCUGCUGCGAUAGCUGCUGUGGUGGCUGUUGUGGUAGCUGCUGUGGAGGUUGCUGUGGUGGCUGCGGCUGGUGAUAUUUAAGCUGGCGGUGUUGGACCCGGACUAAUGUGCAACAGUUGCCUUGAUCCAUAUGAAAAUAGACCACAAACGACAUCCACUUGCAAACGCUAUUUUAAGGCAUUGUUGUUCAACGUGAAGAAUGUUUAAUAAAUAAUCGAAGUGAGACUUACCAAAAACGCUCUCUUUUCAAUACUGAACCUAUGGCAGUAGCCAUUGGUUGUUCCUGGGUAGUUUCAAGAUGGUAUAUGAAAAUAAAUUAGGUUCAUUCUUGGGUAAUCAUACACAUUGCGAAUAAAACUAAAGAAUCUGUGCUGGGAAAGAAAUUUCAAAGCACCCUUGAUAAAUUAGUCUCCUCCAACGUACAGUUCUACCUUCCGGUACAUAAGGGCACCUAUAAAAAUAAACGAGUAAACUAAAUAGAAACGGAAGAUUUGAACAUUAUCUAGGUUGCGAUAGGCUCUGUGGAUUAAGUGGAGCCGGAGACACCAGCGGAUGCUGCUUUUUGAGCAGUGCAUACAGAUAAAACGACAUUUUGGGAAAAGCCCCUCAGGCAACAAGUAUCAAAUUAUUAUUAAACAAAGGUGUUUUAGUAUGAAAUGCUGCCCAAUAAUCCAGGAACUGAACUGCACAGAUCAUUAAGACCUUUAAAGGCUCUCUCUUAAAGUAGAAACUGACCGCCACUAUUUUAGUCGGCCCUGUUCUAGUGUAUAGGAUUAACAAACGGGCUAAGUUCUAAGGAACACUAUUCUAAAAUAGCACAUCUGAUACUACACCCAUGAUAAUCCAAGAUUUGGAAGCAUGUUAACCACCAAUUAAGUCAUUCUUUUCGUAUCUGAUUCAACCUUAUCUGACAUGGUGUAUACCAUUUUAUAUUGCAUGUAUUUAUAUUAAUACGUGCAUAUACUUUAAGAAGUCCACGAAAGUUCCAGCUGCCAGUUCAUUGAAAUUGCACGAAUAAAAGCUCAUAUGAAUUUCAACAAGAAAUAUAGGUCGAAGCACCUUUGAAAAUUCAAUCGUAUAUUUUACCCACCUAAGUCCCAACAAUACUUUCUAGUCUCAAUCUUGAAAGUUAUCCUAAGCGAGCAACAACUAAAUAAAUUGUAAAAUUCUAUCUUCAAAAUGUUUAUUGGUCCAGUUCAGAAGGAGCAUUUGCACAACAUGAUCCUGGGUUGCGGUUGGCCCUGUGGAUCCUUAAGCGGCACGUGCGACACCAGCGGGUGCAAGUAAAGUCGACAGCUCGUUUGAUGCUCUUUGGACAUGGACCAAUGCAUUAAGAAGGGAAGUCUCUUAUAAUUAAUUCGGGCAACUAAAACACAAAAAUAGAUGUUAAACAUAAACAUAAAUAAAAAAAAAUUUGUAUUUAUGGACUAAAGCUUAAAA